rnacentral:rRNA from 1 species
GAUGAACGCUGGCGGCGUGCCUAACACAUGCAAGUCGAGCGAACAGAUGAGGAGCUUGCUCCUCUGACGUUAGCGGCGGACGGGCGAGUAACACGUGGAUAACCUACCUAUUAUACUGGGAUAACUUCGGGAAACCGGAGCUAAUACCGCAUAAUAUAUUGAACCGCAUGGUUCAAUAGUUCAAGACGGUUUUGCUGUCUCUUAUAGAUGGAUCCGCGCCGCAUUAGCUAGUUGGUAAGGUAACGGCUUACCAAGGCUACGAUGCGUAGCCGACCUGAGAGGGUGAUCGGCCACACUGGAACUGAGACACGGUCCAGACUCCUACGGGAGGCAGCAGUAGGGAAUCUUCCGCAAUGGGCGAAAGCCUGACGCAGCAACGCCGCGUGAGUGAUGAAGGUCUUCGGAUCGUAAAACUCUGUUGUUAGGAAAGAAAAAAUGUGUGUGUAACCAUGGACGUUUUGACGGUACCUAAACAGAAAGCCACGGCUAACUACGUG